UAUUGCUUGCAAGGAAAAAACAAUGUUAGCUGGAAUCUCACCUGGGGCUAGGGAUCAGGACGACUGUGGCGGUGGGUUCUUGUCUGCAUCAUUUAUCUGGUCCUCCAAAGGUGAGGUUUUACUGGUUUGGCAACCGCAUUACGAGCCCUACGGCGAUCAGAAUGCUAUUCCAUUUUUUAUGUGUUCAAGAUAGAUAGAAGUGGUUCUAAAACUAUUUGGGUGAAGACGAAUGACGUUGAUGAAGAGCAAGUAAUCUUUGUAUCCGCCUGUCGCACAGCACCUCAAUGUCAAUGUCGAAGCUCGCCGAGUCAUUUAUGACAACCAAAGAUGAGGCUUUUCUUGGACUUGGAUGUGGAACAUACUGCAUCUGCUAUAAUUGGGAUGAACAUAAUCGACUUGGUGUUUUUGCUUGUAACUUAGCCGACAAAACUUGCAGUUAUCUUUCCAGAAGCGGUCUUCAACAUGCAAAGGGAGAGGGUUCGUCGAAAGACUUGUAUAUUUCACAUGGGGUAUGGUUUACGAUCAUUUCAUAUAUUGAAGGAGCUUUUAGAUAUAGGUCCUUUGUUUUCUAAUUUGUUAGAAUGACAUAUUAUGGAUUUCAAUUUUUUGAUUGAAUGGCAUAUAGAACUCCAUAGGAGAUUGGUAGAAUCAAAACGAAAUCCUUAUUAUGCACGAACACUACAAAAAACCCAGCCAGUUGGAGAAUGAGGGUAUCUGUCCCUUUUGGUGUGUAUGGGCGUGAAUAGGAUGUGCCUAUUAGAAUGAUGUACUACUAUUAGUAUUGGGGUUUAAUGUGUUCUUGCAUAACAAUUAAUGGGAACGGCUAUUGUAAUGUAUCCAAGUUCAACAUAGUGUCAUUCUAUUCGCUUGCUUAUUAGGCCAAUACUUCCGUGUCUAUAUCUCUAUAUAGCCUCAAUUAGGUCCGGGAUCUAUCGCCCUAUAUAUAAGCAAUUCAAAUUUUCAGCAACAUAGGAGAUUGCAGGUGGAGAUUGAUCACAGAGCAGCUCAGAUGGCGCCAUCAAUAGAUGGUGGGAUUGAAAAGAAAGGCAACCUUUGGCAGAUGAUAUGACAUGGAAAAAAUUCUUAAGAUUAUAAGUAAAUCUGCAUGGCAUCUGUUGAUCAUGACUGAAUUUUUGAUGAAACGUCCUAAUUGGUCUCAGAAUUUUUUCAUCAAUCCAAUGACGGGCUUGGCUUAUGCUGCCACCACUGGCCACCUGAUGAAUCGUGGACUCUCCAACAGAUUAAAGAUGAUGAACACAUGGCUGAAAUUAAAUUCCAGGAUGGGAAGCUAUACGCAAUGGGACGGGAGUACGUAGUUGUUUCUGAUCCCUUAGAAGUUCUUGAUCAAUAAUAAGGGAAUAAAAGUAAGAAUAUUGCUUUCAUGGCAAAAGACUCACAUUUGGAAGCCUUCUUAGGAGCAAAGCGUAGGAGAGCGGUCUUCUACCUGGUCUUCCAGAGGUGAAAUGUUACUCCUUUGAAAGCCAGUGUCUCCUUUUGUGUCCAAGUAUUCAGUGUUCAGGUUAGAUGCAAGUAGUUCUGAACCUAAAUGUGUACAAAUGAAUAGUCUUGGGGGCCAGAUGUUCCUUAAAGGCUGCAAGCCUGCAACAAGAUGAUCUCGAUUUCAAUGUAGAAGCUGACCAACUCAAUGACAACAACAAUGACAGACGAGGCUCAAGGACUUGAUUCUGGAAAAAACUACAUCUGCCAUUGUCCACACACACUUGAACCUACCCAAGUAAAAUUUUUUGGUAUUAGUGACUUGGCUGAUGGGACUUCGUUGGCCACAAUGCCACAUCAGGCAUCUGGGAUUUGGUUUACCCCAAACUGUCAUGAAAACGUAGACCAAACAAGAUUAGUAUUACAUUGGUUGCUGACA